CCUUGGUCAGGCAUAUUUUUCAAGCUUGCCCGGUGUGGAUAUACACUCAGAGUAACAUCACAAGCAUGUCAACGACUUGUUGACAACUUACUGCAAGGUUGUUGAGCCCAGCAGACUAGUUACAAGUUGUCAACAAGUUGUGAGUGACUGACGGGUAGGGAUAAAACGCUGAAACUGAAUCGCGGAAACGGAAACUGAAAGCGGAAACUGAAAUGGGGGUAAAACGCUGAAAUGGAGGUAAAACGCUGAAAUGGGGGUAAAACGCUG
rnacentral:lncRNA from 1 species